GACGAACGCUGGCGGCGUGCUUAACACAUGCAAGUCGGACGGAGCGAAUGAAAGCUUGCUUUUAUGAGCUUAGUGGCAAACGGGUGAGUAACACGUAGACAACCUGCCGACAGGAUGGGGACAACAUUCCGAAAGGAAUGCUAAUACCGAAUGAAGCGGAGGAGAGGCAUCUCUCCUCCGUGAAAGAUGGCCUCUAUUUAUAAGCUAUCACCUGUCGAUGGGUCUGCGUCUGAUUAGCUGGUUGGUGAGGUAACGGCUCACCAAGGCGACGAUCAGUAGCCGGUCUGAGAGGAUGAACGGCCACAUUGGGACUGAGACACGGCCCAGACUCCUACGGGAGGCAGCAGUGGGGAAUCUUCCGCAAUGGGCGCAAGCCUGACGGAGCAACGCCGCGUGAGUGAAGAAGGUCUUCGGAUCGUAAAGCUCUGUUGACGGGGACGAACGUGCGAAGGGUGAAUAAUCCUUUGUAAUGACG
rnacentral:rRNA from 1 species